CCUACGGGUGGCAGCAGUGGGGAAUCUUGCGCAAUGGGCGGAAGCCUGACGCAGCGACGCCGCGUGCAGGACGAAGGCCUUCGGGUCGUAAACCGCUUUCAGCAGGGACGAGACCCUCACGGUGACGGUACGUGCAGAAGAAGCCCCGGCUAACUACGUGCCAGCAGCCGCGGUAAUACGCGGGGGGCGAGCGUUAUCCGGAUUCAUUGGGCGUAAAGCGCGCGUAGGCGGCCUGUUAGGUCGGGGGGAAAAGACCGGGGCUAACCCCCGGGCCGCCCCCGAUACCGGCAGGCUUGAGUGUGGUAGGGGUAGGCGGAAUUCCUAGUGUAGCGGUGGAAUGCGUAGAUA
rnacentral:rRNA from 1 species